AGCCGGGGAAGCAGCGGCUCCCUGUACCUGCAAUCCGCUAUAGCAGGGGUGAUAUCCUUUCCGAGGAUGACUGUCUGUAGGGCUGCCCUUCAUAAGUGGCGUUGAAGUCUGGGUCUUACGCAACAGGAAUCUGUGAACCGUGUCAGGUCAGGAAUGGAGCAGCACUAAGCAGAAGCUCCUGUGUGCCGUGAGGGCGCCUGGACGGAGCUAACUGUGGAGGUAACGCUUAUGGGCAGCAUACG
rnacentral:SRP_RNA from 1 species